rnacentral:rRNA from 1 species
GUAAUCGUGGAUCAGCAUGCCACGGUGAAUACGUUCCCGGGUCUUGUACACACCGCCCGUCACACCAUGGGAGUCGGUAACACCCGAAGUCAGUAGUCUAACCGCAAGGAGGACGCUGCCGAAGGUGGGAUUGACGACUGGGGUGAAGUCGUAACAAGGUAUC